rnacentral:rRNA from 1 species
AGUGAAAGAACAGUUACCUCAGGGUUAACAGCGUAAUAGAUUUAAAGAGCCCUAAUCGAAAAAUAUGCUUGCGACCUCGAUGUUGAAUUAAAGGAGCUGCUCAGCGUAGCCGUUGAUUAAGUUGGUUUGUUCAACCAUUAAACCUUUACAUGAUUUGAGUUCAGACCG